rnacentral:rRNA from 1 species
AUUCCUACGGGAGGCAGCAGUGGGGAAUAUUGCACAAUGGGCGCAAGCCUGAUGCAGCGACGCCGCGUGAGGGAUGAAGGCCUUCGGGUUGUAAACCUCUUUCAGCAGGGAAGAAGCAGCCGGGUUUUCUUGGUUGUGACGGUACCUGCAGAAGAAGCACCGGCUAACUACGUGCCAGCAGCCGCGGUAAUACGUAGGGUGCAAGCGUUGUCCGGAAUUAUUGGGCGUAAAGAGCUUGUAGGUGGUUUGUCGCGUCUGUUGUGAAAUUUCGGGGCUCAACCCCGAACUUGCAGUGGAUACGGGCAGACUAGAGUGUGGUAGGGGAGACUGGAAUUCCUGGUGUAGCGGUGAAAUGCGCAGAUAUCAGGAGGAACACCGAUGGCGAAGGCAGGUCUCUGGGCCAUUACUGACACUGAGAAGCGAAAGCAUGGGGAGCGAACAGGAUUAGAUACCCUGGUAGUCCAUGCCGUAAACGGUGGGAACUAGGUGUGGGUCUCAUUCCACGAGAUCCGUGCCGCAGCUAACGCAUUAAGUUCCCCGCCUGGGGAGUACGGCCGCAAGGCUAAAACUCAAAGGAAUUGACGGGGGCCCGCACAAGCGGCGGAGCAUGCGGAUUAAUUCGAUGCAACGCGAAGAACCUUACCAAGGCUUGACAUGUGCCGGUAAAGUGCAGAGAUGUGCUCCCCGCAAGGUCGGUACACAGGUGGUGCAUGGUUGUCGUCAGCUCGUGUCGUGAGAUGUUGGGUUAAGUCCCGCAACGAGCGCAACCCUCGUUCUAUGUUGCCAGCGGGUUAUGCCGGGGACUCAUAGGAGACUGCCGGGGUCAACUCGGAGGAAGGUGGGGAUGACGUCAAAUCAUCAUGCCCCUUAUGUCUUGGGCUUCACGCAUGCUACAAUGGCCAGUACAAAGGGCUGCGAUACCGCAAGGUGGAGCGAAUCCCAAAAAACUGGUCUCAGUUCGGAUUGGGGUCUGCAACUCGACCCCAUGAAGUCGGAGUCGCUAGUAAUCGCAGAUCAGCAACGCUGCGGUGAAUACGUUCCCGGGCCUUGUACACACCGCC